rnacentral:lncRNA from 1 species
GAACUGCCUUUUGGAACCAAAUGCCUUCUAAUUCCUUUUUAUAAAGAUCAUCGUAACUUUUCCACCUUUUCUUUUUCACAGUUGCUCAUAAGCCUUGUGCUUCUCUCUGCUUUUAGUCAUUUUUGUAGCUUUAACCUUCCACCUGCCUGGUCUACUUCAAGGCUUGCUUAAAAUGCCCCAGCUGUAAUUGCUUUACCAGUAUGUCCCUCGUGUAAGUAGCAGUUAGCGGUAAUACACCCAGAGACCAGGUUUUAAUCAGCCUUGACUGAAGACUAAAAAUGAUUCACUUCUGUCAGCACUGGGCAACGCAACAAACAGCUCUCCAGCAAAUCACUUAAGCAGAAAUAUGUUGGCAUGUUUCUAUAGCAACUAAGGAAAAAUAUUUCACACAGAAGUCCAUCUGCUGCAACAUAAAGGGAGAUCUGGCCAAGGAUCGUGUUAGAAAUUAAUCUUAAUUUGCAAAUUUUAUUUUUGCAAACCUCACGCAGCCGCUUGCACAAAAAGGCAGAACGUCGGCGACAGGAUGACAAUUGGGUUUGGAUACAGGCUGUCAAUUAAUCAGCAAACUGGUCAUUAAUUCGAGAAGCAGCGAUUGUCCAAGGAUGAAAAAUCACAGUGCGUUGGAGAGCUUUGCAUAGACCCAAAAAGGAAUUCAAAAAACAAGCUGGAUAAACAAGAAGAACUUUCUGUCUGCUCGGAAACAUGUAGGCUAAUGUCCUUGAGCAUGUGCCAGGCCUCCGGGGGUUACGUCCAGGGAACGUGAGUCAAGCCUCGCCAGGGUCUGUCACCUGCAGCUUUGUGUGCAAUGCUAUUCCUUCAAACAUUUCAGGAAGAGCUCUUUGUCUUCAAUCAAGGAGGUUCUUAAAAGCUCUCAUUGCCUCCACCUGUGGUUCUACAUCUUCCUUACAGUGGUAAAGGAGCUGGGUUGGAAGUUCAAGUGGGGAACUUCUCAAAAACCUUUCCUGCUCAGAGGAACUUUGUCAAAGCACGGCUUCAUUUGGAAGAACAUCCUGCUUCACUUUCAUGUCCAAAGCUACUGCGGUGUUUUGCCAACUCUGAGCACAGCAUUAAGAUAAAAGGGAGACUCGAUCCACUUGGCAUUCACGAAUAAGUAUUUUUUUUCCUUCUUUAUUUUCCCAUUAGAAGUGUUCAACAGAAGCUGUAGGUGCUCCGUGUCAUUCAGGUUGUUGCCUGGGGGUGGAACAAUGAAGAUUCUAUUGGAAAGUGGCUAAAAUUUGGGGCCAUGAGCAUGAUGCCAUUUGGCACUUGCGUGAUUUUCCCUGCUCACAGCCACAAGGAUCUGUCACCAGAGGCUGCAAUCUUUGCUGCCAACUUUCAGCCCAGGAAAGGUGUUAGAGAUUGAACUGCACUGUGAUCCUUGGGAAAAGAGGGCAUAUCUUUGUCAUUUUGUUUUACUGACAUUUCUGGGGAUUUUGACAGAAGGAAGAUAGCAGGAAAUUACAACUCCUGUCAGUGAGCAUCCCGAAAUAUUUCUGAGUAAACGAUGGCAGAUGCUUCAAGCCAGAGAUGCUGUUAGACAUUGAGAAAUAUGAUUUUCUUUUACUCUCAGUUGAAGCUCUGAUUAUUUCAUUUUCCCAAGCAGAAGGUCAGUAUGACAUGCACGUCAUAUAUUCAUAUGGCAACUCUUAUAUUUCAUCCAUGCCAUUGUUUUUUUGUGUUUAAAUAGAGAUAAAACAGCUAAAUGCAGUUGAUCACUGGGCAGGAGACAGGCAGUGCUAGAAAAAAAAAGUUUCCCUUGUUUAAGUAGUAUUUCUUACUUAAAAGCAAGUUUUAUUUGGCUUGUGUGCAGAGCUCUGUCUUCAUAAACCUUUAAUCUCAGAGCUGUCAAACCUCCUUUGACCCAGAGUCUUACAGUAAAUAGAGGGGGGAAAAAAAAUGACAAAGAUGCUCUUCUGUAGAAAUGUGAGCUUAGGGAAUGAAGUUCAAGGUGAAAAUCCUGUAGUGUUGUUUCAGCAGCAUUAAUGGAAAUUGAUUCAAUGGAGACUUUUCAGUCUCCAUUCCUGAAUCUCUAAUGUCAAAGCCUUGAGAAAAUGAUAAAGUACCAUGAUUUUCUGA